rnacentral:rRNA from 1 species
UUACCAAAUCUUGACAUCCUUUGACAACUCUAGAGAUAGAGCCUUCCCCCUUCGGGGGACAAAGUGACAGGUGGUGCAUGGUUGUCGUCAGCUCGUGUCGUGAGAUGUUGGGUUAAGUCCCGCAACGAGCGCAACCCUUAAGCUUAGUGCCAUCAUUAAGUUGGGCACU